rnacentral:rRNA from 1 species
AGUGAACGCUGGCGGUAGGCCUAACACAUGCGAGUCGAACGGCAGCACAGUAAGAGCUUGCUCUUACGGGUGGCGAGUGGCGGACGGGUGAGGAAUACAUCGGAAUCUACUUUUUCGUGGGGGAUAACGUAGGGAAACUUACGCUAAUACCGCAUACGACCUACGGGUGAAAGCAGGGGAUCUUCGGACCUUGCGCGAGUGAAUGAGCCGAUGUCGGAUUAGCUAGUUGGCGGGGUAAAGGCCCACCAAGGCGACGAUCCGUAGCUGGUCUGAGAGGAUGAUCAGCCACACUGGAACUGAGACACGGUCCAGACUCCUACGGGAGGCAGCAGUGGGGAAUAUUGGACAAUGGGCGCAAGCCUGAUCCAGCCAUACCGCGUGGGUGAAGAAGGCCUUCGGGUUGUAAAGCCCUUUUGUUGGGAAAGAAAAGCAGCAGGUUAAUACCCCGCUGUUCUGACGGUACCCAAAGAAUAAGCACCGGCUAACUUCGUG